GGGGGUGACCUGGUUUCGACGGGGAUUGGAAGCGCAAGUGGCAUGCCGGAGUGGGCUGGCUCCGUAACUAAGCCCAUCAUGUAUAAACGCCGAUACUGACGUUCAAUACGCACUGGCAGCUUAAUUGCUGUCACGUUUUUUGUUCCAUCGCUCAUGUGGAGCUUGAAACGUUAAUUUAGUGAGCUAGUCUCGAUAUCUGUUCGCGGUGGCGAGGCGAAACCUUAGCGAAAUCGCCCGAAGGGAAUCCUGUUCGUGGGAGUUCUCAGGGUUAAAUUUAAAACACGGACUACGCAUGUAGAAGCUUGAUGUGAAAAAUUUUCGGACGCGGGUUCGAUUCCCGCCACCUCCACCA
rnacentral:tmRNA from 1 species